rnacentral:rRNA from 1 species
GAUGAACGCUGGCGGCGUGCCUAUACCUUCCAAUCGGGCCAACAGACGAGGAGCUUUCUCCCCUGACGUUAGCGGCGGGCGGGUUAGUAACCCGUUGGUAACCCACCUAUAAGACUUGGAUAACUUCCGGAAACCGGGACUAAUACCGGAUAAUAUUUUUAACCGCAUUGUUUCAUAGUUAAAGACGGUUUUUCUUUUCCUUUUUAAUGGAUCCGCGCCGCAUUAGCUAGUUGGUAAGGUAACGGCUUACCAAGGCAACGAUGCGUAGCCGACCUGAGAGGGUGAUCGGCCACACUGGAACUGAGACACGGUCCAGACUCCUACGGGAGGCAGCAGUAGGGAAUCUUCCGCAAUGGGCGAAAGCCUGACGGAGCAACGCCGCGUGAGUGAUGAAGGUCUUCGGAUCGUAAAACUCUGUUAUUAGGGAAGAACAAAUGUGUAAGUAACUAUGCACGUCUUGACGGUACCUAAUCAGAAAGCCACGGCUAACUACGUG